UGCAGUCGAGGGGUAGAGGAAGCUUGCUUUCUUGAGACCGGCGCACGGGUGCGUAACGCGUAUGCAAUCUACCUUUUACAGGGGAAUAGCCCAGAGAAAUUUGGAUUAAUGCCCCAUAGUGUAAUUGAAUGGCAUCAUUUGAUUACUAAAGUUCCAACGGUAAAAGAUGAGCAUGCGUCCUAUUAGCUAGUUGGUGUGGUAACGGCACACCAAGGCAACGAUAGGUAGGGGUCCUGAGAGGGAGAUCCCCCACACUGGUACUGAGACACGGACCAGACUCCUACGGGAGGCAGCAGUGAGGAAUAUUGGACAAUGGGCGCAAGCCUGAUCCAGCCAUGCCGCGUGCAGGAAGAAGCAUCUAUGGUGUGUAAACUGCUUUUGUACGGGAAGAAACACUCCUACGUGUAGGAGCUUGACGGUACCGUAAGAAUAAGGAUCGGCUAACUCCGUGCCAGCAGCCGCGGUAAUACGGAGGAUCCAAGCGUUAUCCGGAAUCAUUGGGUUUAAAGGGUCCGUAGGCGGUUUAAUAAGUCAGUGGUGAAAUCUGGUCGCUCAACGAUCAAACGGCCAUUGAUACUGUUAGACUUGAAUUACUAGGAAGUAACUAGAAUAUGUAGUGUAGCGGUGAAAUGCUUAGAUAUUACAUGGAAUACCAAUUGCGAAGGCAGGUUACUACUAGUGGAUUGACGCUGAUGGACGAAAGCGUGGGGAGCGAACAGGAUUAGAUACCCUGGUAGUCCACGCCGUAAACGAUGGAUACUAGCUGUUGGGAGCAAUCUCAGUGGCUAAGCGAAAGUGAUAAGUAUCCCACCUGGGGAGUACGUUCGCAAGAAUGAAACUCAA
rnacentral:rRNA from 1 species